GGAUCAUGGCUCAGAACGAACGCUGGCGGCAGGCUUAACACAUGCAAGUUGAACGGGAUUUGUGUGGUGCUUGCACCAUAUAAUGAGAGUAGCGCACUGGUGAGUAACACGUGGGAACGUGCCUUUUAGUGGGGGAUAACAUCUGGAAACGGAUGCUAAUACCGCAUACGCCCUGAGGGGGGAAAAGAUUUAUUGCUAAGAGGUCGGCCCGCGGUAGAUUAGGCAGUUGGUGGGGUAAAGGCCUACC
rnacentral:rRNA from 1 species